GAAUUUUUUUUAGAAAAAAAUGCUAGUGCUCGUCUUCUCGAGGGGCAUAUUUGCCCCACUGAUAGAGAGAGGAGAGCCCCAUUUUUGGCGACCUCUCCCAAAGCAAGGUCGUCGAAGGUUUCAAGGGCCUCCAGAGACCUUGCUCAAGGAAAGAGGUCACCGGAAAGGGGGGCUCAGAUCUGACCUACCUCCCCUUCUCUAUCUCUACUGGUUGCCGGAAAUGGAGGCUCCAAUCCCCCCGGUUCUCCCUCCUUUCUCUAUUGAUUCUUCUACAUGGGCUCUUGUGAUGUGCACGAUCCAGGAGUGCAAGAACUCGAACUGCAGAGGCCUUAAGAACACGAAUGAGUUCGAUAUCCAGCUCGAGAUCAGGACAACGUGAAGAAUCUUCGCUCCUAGACGAGUCCAAGAGGUGCCUAUUUGAACUUCCUAUUAAUCACCAUUGGGAAAUCGAAGUAGAAUUGAAGAUGGUCGUGGUAUCACCCGAUGGGAGAGUUGUUCUUGUCUUUCGAGAGAGGUGAUGUCUGUUAAUUGUGAGCUUGACUGAAUUUAUGGCGUAGCAAUAGGGAUUUUUGGGGAAGAUUGUCGGAGCCUUCGUCAGAGGCACCAUAAGCCUCCAGCGACACCCCCUUUUUUUUUUCAAGAAAAUAGCCAAAAUGAUGUAUUUUAGAUCCAACGUGGGACUUAACGUGCCGAAUUAGCAUAUAACGGGCCACAUCAGCGUUUUCUAUCAGGGAAUAGAUGCAAAUUUGGAUGGAAGGACUAAUUUGUCCAAAAGUUUUAAACGGCGUGACUAAUUUAUAUAAUUAAAAUUUUUUAAUGAUAUCUUAUCAAA